rnacentral:rRNA from 1 species
CACUCCUGCGGGAGGCAGCAGUGGGGAAUAUUGGACAAUGGGCGCAAGCCUGAUCCAGCCAUGCCGCGUGAGUGAUGAAGGCCCUAGGGUUGUAAAGCUCUUUCACCGGUGAAGAUAAUGACGGUAACCGGAGAAGAAGCCCCGGCUAACUUCGUGCCAGCAGCCGCGGUAAUACGAAGGGGGCUAGCGUUGUUCGGAUUUACUGGGCGUAAAGCGCACGUAGGCGGACUAUUAAGUCAGGGGUGAAAUCCCGGGGCUCAACCCCGUAACUGCCUUUGAUACUGGUAGUCUUGAGUUCGGGAGAGGUGAGUGGAAUUCCGAGUGUAGAGGUGAAAUUCGUAGAUAUUCGGAGGAACACCAGUGGCGAAGGCGGCUCACUGGCUCGAUACUGACGCUGAGGUGCGAAAGCGUGGGGAGCAAACAGGAUUAGAUACCCCUGUAGUCCCAUG